rnacentral:rRNA from 1 species
GGUUAAGCGACUAAGCGUACACGGUGGAUGCCCUGGCAGUCAGAGGCGAUGAAGGACGUGCUAAUCUGCGAAAAGCGUCGGUAAGGUGAUAUGAACCGUUACAGCCGGCGAUGUCCGAAUGGGGAAACCCAGUGCAAUUCGUUGCACUAUCGUUAACUGAAUACAUAGGUUAACGAGGCGAACCGGGGGAACUGAAACAUCUAAGUACCCCGAGGAAAAGAAAUCAACCGAGAUUCCCCCAGUAGCGGCGAGCGAACGGGGAGCAGCCCAGAGUCUGAAUCAGCUUGUGUGUUAGUGGAACGGUCUGGAAAGUCCGACGGUACAGGGUGAUAGUCCCGUACACCAAAAUGCACAGGUUGUGAACUCGAAGAGUAGGGCGGGACACGUGGUAUCCUGUCUGAAUAUGGGGGGACCAUCCUCCAAGGCUAAAUACUCCUGACUGACCGAUAGUGAACCAGUACCGUGAGGGAAAGGCGAAAAGAACCCCGGCGAGGGGAGUGAAAAAGAACCUGAAACCGUGUACGUACAAGCAGUGGGAGCACCUUCGGGUGUGACUGCGUACCUUUUGUAUAAUGGGUCAGCGACUUAUAUUCUGUAGCAAGGUUAACCGUAUAGGGGAGCCGCAGGGAAACCGAGUCUUAACUGGGCGUUAAGUUGCAGGGUAUAGACCCGAAACCCGGUGAUCUAGCCAUGGGCAGGUUGAAGGUUGGGUAACACUAACUGGAGGACCGAACCGACUAAUGUUGAAAAAUUAGCGGAUGACUUGUGGCUGGGGGUGAAAGGCCAAUCAAACCGGGAGAUAGCUGGUUCUCCCCGAAAGCUAUUUAGGUAGCGCCUCGUGAACUCAUCUUCGGGGGUAGAGCACUGUUUCGGCUAGGGGGUCAUCCCGACUUACCAACCCGAUGCAAACUACGAAUACCGAAGAAUGUUAUCACGGGAGACACACGGCGGGUGCUAACGUCCGUCGUGAAGAGGGAAACAACCCAGACCGCCAGCUAAGGUCCCAAAGUCAUGGUUAAGUGGGAAACGAUGUGGGAAGGCACAGACAGCCAGGAUGUUGGCUUAGAAGCAGCCAUCAUUUAAAGAAAGCGUAAUAGCUCACUGGUCGAGUCGGCCUGCGCGGAAGAUGUAACGGGGCUAAACCAUGCACCGAAGCUGCGGCAGCGACACUAUGUGUUGUUGGGUAGGGGAGCGUUCUGUAAGCCUGCGAAGGUGGCCUGUGAGGGUUGCUGGAGGUAUCAGAAGUGCGAAUGCUGACAUAAGUAACGAUAAAGCGGGUGAAAAGCCCGCUCGCCGGAAGACCAAGGGUUCCUGUCCAACGUUAAUCGGGGCAGGGUGAGUCGACCCCUAAGGCGAGGCCGAAAGGCGUAGUCGAUGGGAAACAGGUUAAUAUUCCUGUACUUGGUGUUACUGCGAAGGGGGGACGGAGAAGGCUAUGUUAGCCGGGCGACGGUUGUCCCGGUUUAAGCAUGUAGGCGGAGGUUCCAGGUAAAUCCGGUACCUUUUAACGCUGAGGUGUGAUGACGAGGCACUACGGUGCUGAAGUAACAAAUGCCCUGCUUCCAGGAAAAGCCUCUAAGCAUCAGGUAACAUCAAAUCGUACCCCAAACCGACACAGGUGGUCAGGUAGAGAAUACCAAGGCGCUUGAGAGAACUCGGGUGAAGGAACUAGGCAAAAUGGUGCCGUAACUUCGGGAGAAGGCACGCUGGUGUGUAGGUGAAGUCCCUGCGGAUGGAGCUGAGACCAGUCGAAGAUACCAGCUGGCUGCAACUGUUUAUUAAAAACACAGCACUGUGCAAACACGAAAGUGGACGUAUACGGUGUGACGCCUGCCCGGUGCCGGAAGGUUAAUUGAUGGGGUUAUCCGUAAGGAGAAGCUCUUGAUCGAAGCCCCGGUAAACGGCGGCCGUAACUAUAACGGUCCUAAGGUAGCGAAAUUCCUUGUCGGGUAAGUUCCGACCUGCACGAAUGGCGUAAUGAUGGCCAGGCUGUCUCCACCCGAGACUCAGUGAAAUUGAACUCGCUGUGAAGAUGCAGUGUACCCGCGGCAAGACGGAAAGACCCCGUGAACCUUUACUAUAGCUUGACACUGAACAUUGAGCCUUGAUGUGUAGGAUAGGUGGGAGGCUUUGAAGCGUGGACGCCAGUCUGCGUGGAGCCAACCUUGAAAUACCACCCUUUAAUGUUUGAUGUUCUAACGUUGGCCCCUUAUCGGGGUUGCGGACAGUGUCUGGUGGGUAGUUUGACUGGGGCGGUCUCCUCCCAAAGAGUAACGGAGGAGCACGAAGGUUAGCUAAUCCUGGUCGGACAUCAGGAGGUUAGUGCAAUGGCAUAAGCUAGCUUGACUGCGAGCGUGACGGCGCGAGCAGGUGCGAAAGCAGGUCAUAGUGAUCCGGUGGUUCUGAAUGGAAGGGCCAUCGCUCAACGGAUAAAAGGUACUCCGGGGAUAACAGGCUGAUACCGCCCAAGAGUUCAUAUCGACGGCGGUGUUUGGCACCUCGAUGUCGGCUCAUCACAUCCUGGGGCUGAAGUAGGUCCCAAGGGUAUGGCUGUUCGCCAUUUAAAGUGGUACGCGAGCUGGGUUUAGAACGUCGUGAGACAGUUCGGUCCCUAUCUGCCGUGGGCGCUGGAGAAUUGAGGGGGGCUGCUCCUAGUACGAGAGGACCGGAGUGGACGCAUCACUGGUGUUCGGGUUGUCAUGCCAAUGGCACUGCCCGGUAGCUAAAUGCGGAAGAGAUAAGUGCUGAAAGCAUCUAAGCACGAAACUUGCCCCGAGAUGAGUUCUCCCUGAGACUUUAAGUCUCCUGAAGGAACGUUGAAGACGACGACGUUGAUAGGCCGGGUGUGUAAGCGCAGCGAUGCGUUGAGCUAACCGGUACUAAUGAACCGUGAGGCUUAACCUU